rnacentral:sRNA from 1 species
UCCCAUCCAAAUACUAAUCAGGCCCAACCCUGUUUAGCUUCCAAGAUCAGACAAGAUCGGGGGUGUUCAGGGUGGUAUGGCC